UACGUAGGUGACAAGCGUUGUCCGGAUUUACUGGGCGUAAAGAGCGCGCAGGCGGUCGUUCAAGUCGAGUGUGAAAGCCCCGGCUCAACUGGGGAGGGUCACUCGAUACUGAUCGACUCGAAGGCAGGAGAGGGAAGUGGAAUUCCCGGUGUAGUGGUGAAAUGCGUAGAUAUCGGGAGGAACACCAGUGGCGAAGGCGACUUCCUGGCCUGUUCUUGACGCUGAGGCGCGAAAGCUAGGGGAGCAAACGGG
rnacentral:rRNA from 1 species